GGCGGCUUUAGCGCGGUGGUCCCACCUGACCCCAUGCCGAACUCAGAAGUGAAACGCCGUAGCGCCGAUGGUAGUGUGGGGUCUCCCCAUGCGAGAGUAGGGAACUGCCAG
rnacentral:rRNA from 1 species